AGAGUUUGAUCAUGGCUCAGAUUGAACGCUGGCGGCAGGCUUAACACAUGCAAGUCGAGCGGGGAAAGGUAGCUUGCUACCUGACCUAGCGGCGGACGGGUGAGUAAUGCUUAGGAAUCUGCCUAUUAGUGGGGGACAACAUCUCGAAAGGGAUGCUAAUACCGCAUACGUCCUACGGGAGAAAGCAGGGGACCUUCGGGCCUUGCGCUAAUAGAUGAGCCUAAGUCGGAUUAGCUAGUUGGUGGGGUAAAGGCCUACCAAGGCGACGAUCUGUAGCGGGUCUGAGAGGAUGAUCCGCCACACUGGGACUGAGACACGGCCCAGACUCCUACGGGAGGCAGCAGUGGGGAAUAUUGGACAAUGGGGGGAACCCUGAUCCAGCCAUGCCGCGUGUGUGAAGAAGGCCUUUUGGUUGUAAAGCACUUUAAGCGAGGAGGAGGCUACCGAGAUUAAUACUCUUGGAUAGUGGACGUUACUCGCAGAAUAAGCACCGGCUAACUCUGUGCCGGCAGCCGCGGUAAUACAGAGGGUGCAAGCGUUAAUCGGAUUUACUGGGCGUAAAGCGCGCGUAGGUGGCCAAUUAAGUCAAAUGUGAAAUCCCCGAGCUUAACUUGGGAAUUGCAUUCGAUACUGGUUGGCUAGAGUAUGGGAGAGGAUGGUAGAAUUCCAGGUGUAGCGGUGAAAUGCGUAGAGAUCUGGAGGAAUACCGAUGGCGAAGGCAGCCAUCUGGCCUAAUACUGACACUGAGGUGCGAAAGCAUGGGGAGCAAACAGGAUUAGAUACCCUGGUAGUCC
rnacentral:rRNA from 1 species